GGCCCUGUUAAACCGAUCGAGUCGCCGAUGGGGCUUCGAUCAUUCGAUUUCUUGUUCGAUUUUUUCACAACGAAGAUCCCUGUAACCGCAAUAGCGAGAGAAGAUGAAAGAGAAACAAAGAUAAUUGGCGAGGAUCGUGGUGGGGCUUAAGACAGCCUGCGCCAACUCUCUGGGAACGAGUACAUACGCCGUCGAAGAUGGUUAGGCGAGUACAGAGGGGCGAGGAAGAGGAGGUAGAAGCUGCUUAAGGAGGCCACGGAAUCUGCAGACGUCUCACCGUCGACCAGUUUUCUCAUACGGUCGACAUAUGGUAUGUACCCGGUGGCCUAAACUUCCACAGGAUAAAUCUCUACCUGAGGUGAGCCCUUGACCUGCCUUCUAAUGCAAAACUGAUUAUUACAAGCAACAUAUAUUAUCAGAUGUUAACUCAAAAACAUUAAGAAUGGCGUUCAUAUCAUCUCUUAAAUCCUUUUCUGGUUUCCCAUGUAUGUACAUAGAUUCUGAAUUCUAUAAAAUAAGGAGAUCUAAAUACUACAGUCUAGACUAGUAUGGCUGAAUUAGUAUACCAAGCUUGUGUGAGCUAAGUCCGAUGAUAUGACUCAAGUCUUGCCAAGGUCUGGGUUAAAUAUAAGUCUAGGCUGGGUCUAGGUUGAAUCUACUUAUAUUAUCGAAAUGAAAUCUUAUAUUUCUACUAAUAUUUGUAAUUUAUGUUACGCGAGAGUUAUCCAGAAUUAAAAUGGAACAAGAUGGUUAUUUAGAACGCGAAAAACGAAAUCAGUCUCUUUGGAAUGUCCGAAUCGAUGACUCGGCUCUAACGACUGUAAUCUGAUAAGGAUCGAUUUCAAGGCAUCAUGAGGUGAUUUUUGGACAGUUCUCUCGGUCACUCAAAUCUGGCGAAGGUGUUGGCGGUCUCCGCCAUAAGGAACGAGAGGAAAGGAAGGAAACUGCAGCUAGUGUAAAAAGGGAACUGGUUUAAAGCGCGGUAGCGCUAUCUGCGGACCAGAAUUCGCCUACUUAGCAGCAUAAAGCUAUUGCACGUAACAAUCAACUAGCGUAUCUUGACAGUAGGAGAAAGUGUACUCUAUACAGGCCCGGACUUCCACUUUUCUAACUCACGCAAACCAAAUCUUCGCCUGUGGAAAACGCAACAAGUAAAGUCUGGCUUAUACUAAUUUUUAUAGAAAGUAGAGACGAUAGGAAAGUCAGAAGUGGCUUACGAAAGUAUUCGAAAACUGUUAGAAGCUUUUUAUGUAUAUAUAUUAUGUAUAUAUAUUAUACAAAACAUUUUGAAAUCUGAUAUGGAUCAAAUUUGAAAUAGAUCUGAAAAUUAUAUAUAUAGAGGUUACAAGAUACUUAUUGGAAGCAUACGCUGCGCGUAAAUUAGCAAAGUAUUUGAAGUCAAUUAUUAUUCACUAUAUUAAUAAGCCACAAUGUUUAGUGAGACUAUCUUUAGUAUUAAUUGUACGUUUAAGACUAUUAUUGACUUAAGAUUUCCACGAUGAUUUUCUGAAUUCAUCAUAUUUGAUCUUCAGGUUAUCAAUCGUGUUAUAUAUUAUUUUGUAAGCCGAUCUGAAACUGUUUCCAGGUUUCUUUUUAUGGCAGAUUUCCAUUGGCCAACCAGAGGCACUUUUUUGACCAUAAAAAGCAUUAACAAAAUCUGAAAAUACUCAGUUUCAGUAUAACACUGAAGAAGUGAAAUACAACGUCCACGAAACGUCGGCUUGCAAAGCAAUAUAUAAUAUGAUUGAUAACCUGAAGACCAAUUAUGAAUAGUAUUUAUGCUGUAUACUAAUUUUCUACUGAGUGUAUAUUUGCGAUAUAUGUCUUGUAAUUUCUAUAUACAUUUCCAAUUAACACGUUAGUACAAUAAUUACGAUGAUCGUGUCUCGUUACAGUGUUAACGAGUUUUCAAAAAGUUUUGUAGAAUGCAUAUAAUAUAUUCAUAAAAAAUUUUGUGGUCGGUAUACGAGUACUUCUGUGAACCAUUGCUUUUUUGAUAGAAAAUUAUGAUAAUCGUAUGUUAUGUUGCACAUACAUGUACGUUUGACAGCG